rnacentral:rRNA from 1 species
UGAAUUGAAGAGUUUGAUCAUGGCUCAGAUUGAACGCUGGCGGCAGGCCUAACACAUGCAAGUCGAACGGUAACAGGAAACAGCUUGCUGUUUCGCUGACGAGUGGCGGACGGGUGAGUAAUGUCUGGGAAACUGCCUGAUGGAGGGGGAUAACUACUGGAAACGGUAGCUAAUACCGCAUAA